UUCUGGCCUCUUCCUCUUCCUCUUCAGAGCUGUGACGACCGCGACUACCGACGAUGACGACGCCGGCGACGGCGACGGUAUGGCAACUUUCUGAAUCGCCACCUCUCCCACACAACCGCGACGACCAUCUCCGCCUUCAGAUCCUCCUCACAGGCAGUGCUCGCUCCAACAAGGUAUAGAGGCUCUCUUUCCCUCUUGGCGUCUGACCUCCUCCUCCGAGAAUUGACCAGUGCGACCACCUAUGGAGACGAUGCAGCAGUAGUGUGGUGGCAUCACCUCCUGGAUCGCCACCUCGCUCCCCAGUUUUUGGCAGCCAUCUCCGCCUUCAGAUCGACAUUGCGGCCGGAUCAGGUUAGGAUUUUGGGAUGACAGAUCCGCAACUGUUGAAGGAGCUUGAUUUGUGCAGACAACACCAGGCAAAAAUUGUCAGCACCAAACUCAAGGUUGAUGAUAGCCAACAGAUCGUCGGCUAGGCUGAACUUAAGGGUUCAUCAAAUAUUCUUCUUCCUCAGCUUCCCAGGUGUACACGUGGUGUAUGUUUGUAGAAUGGCAACCUCCUACACUACUAACCGGUGAUGAAGCACAUUAGCCGAUGAGCAUACUACUCGAUGGAUAAGAUGAUAUGAAAGCCGGAGGAAAAUAUUGGUGUUUGGCUAAUAAAUUUUUUAAGUGUUGUUAAUUCACUAAGCACUUGGAUUCUAUGGUGGCCAUUGUGGAUAUGAUGGGUUUUUUUAUACGUGAAGAGUUGGACUGAGAGCCUCGCGUAGUCCAAUUAGCUCAUUUUGUAUUCAUAUUUGUUUUUAACAUGGUCAAGAUUUGGUGAAUACAUGUUAUCCUAAGUGUUUAGAACAAUUUUAGUCGUAAGUGUUUCAAGCAAUUUUGAUAGAUAGACAAAGUCAAUGGAACGAAACAAAAAGUUAUGUUGGAAAUUCAACGGAACCAAAGUCUAGCUUAAUUGUAAGAACAAAAUAUAAGAACCAAAAAAAAGCACAGCCUAAAAGACAAAUGGCUAUAAAAGCUAAGCUCAAUAGUGCUACCGGACCUCAAAGAAAAAAAAAAUGU